UCCCUCGUGGCUCAGAUGGUAAAGCAUCUGCCUGCAAUGCGGGAGACCCAGGUUUGAUUCCUGGGUAGGGAA
rnacentral:tRNA from 1 species